UGGCUCAUUAAAUCAGUUAUCGUUUAUUUGAUAGUACCUUACUACAUGGAUACCUGUGGUAAUUCUAGAGCUAAUACAUGCUAAAAACCCCGACUCACGAAGGGGUGUAUUUAUUAGAUAAAAAACCAACGCCCUUCGGGGCUCCUUGGUGAAUCAUAAUAACUUAACGAAUCGCAUGGCCUUGCGCCGGCGAUGGUUCAUUCAAAUUUCUGCCCUAUCAACUUUCGAUGGUAGGAUAGUGGCCUACCAUGGUGGCAACGGGUAACGGGGAAUUAGGGUUCGAUUCCGGAGAGGGAGCCUGAGAAACGGCUACCACAUCCAAGGAAGGCAGCAGGCGCGCAAAUUACCCAAUCCCGAUACGGGGAGGUAGUGACAAUAAAUACUGAUACGGGGCUCUUUUGGGUCUCGUAAUUGGAAUGAGAACAAUUUAAAUCCCUUAACGAGGAACAAUUGGAGGGCAAGUCUKGUGCCARCAGCCGCGGUAAUUCCAGCUCCAAUAGCGUAUAUUAAAGUUGUUGCAGUUAAAAAGCUCGUAGUUGAACCUUGGGWCUGGCUGGCCGGUCCGCCUCACCGCGAGUACUGGUCCGGMUGGACUUUCCUUCUGGGGACCUCAUGGCCUUCACUGGCUGUGGGGGGAACCAGGCUUUUWCUGUGAAAAAAUUAGAGUGUUCAAAGCAGGCUUUGCUCGAAUACAUUAGCAUGGAAU
rnacentral:rRNA from 1 species